AGCAACCAGAGAGACAGGAGCAGCAAUGCGAAGGGAAGCUUGACCGCAGGAACCCAAUCCUGCCAGGUCCUGAGCAUCCUCAGUCCACUGGGAUUUGAGGAUGUCGGACGGCUCAGAAGAUCCAGCCCUAUCUGGAGAGAUAGGAUCCUUCCUGUGUGUUAGUGCCUUGUAGCCUUUGGUAAAGGGGGAGCCUGACAAGGAAGAUAUGGUAUCUGGACCGCUUAUCUGGCUGUGAGCAUCAGAGACAGGGUAGCAGAGCACACAGCUUUAAAAGAGUUACAGCUGACAGAAAACAAAACUGGAUGAAGGCCAGAUGGUUGCAAGGUCAGAUGGGAUCAGUCCUACAUAACGGAGAAGGAAGACACAGGAAGAUAAUGCAGUGAAGAAAAAUGUCUUUGGUCCCAGGGGUUGCUGUGGGACUUGUAGAUGCUGUCUGCAGAUGCCCUGAAUCAUCUUCCUUAAAAUGAUGGGAGAUUUGAACCAGGGCACGAAAGCCAAAUCUUCUCUGUUUCCAUAAGAAAUGGCUGGGGGAUGGUUUCUCAUUUCUGGACAAAAGGAAAAUGAGAAAGAAACUCGCCUCCUGAAAGGCCAGUAGCCCUGGGUCAUGCUGGAGGCCGGAUUUAAGCCUGAGCUCCAUGUCGAGAAGAACCGGUGUUCAUUUUAGAGCUGUGAAUUGACUUUGCAUCUCCCCGAAGCCAGACCGGUGACUCAGUCCCCAAACCACACUCUGCGCCUGCAAGCUGGCAGUCCAAGGGAUGAGGGUAACCCGUGCUUUGUGGCUGCAGAGCCAGGGCUCCCUCCUGGUGCCCCGUUCCCAGGGGCGGCAUCACAAAAAGCCACCCCCAGCUUUGCCCGCGGUGAGCUCUGAUCUCGAGGUCCCCGAGAAGCUGGUGCGCAGAGCAGUGCGAGAGAUGAUUAUUGUGCCGGCAUGCCUACACAUCCUGCAAUGCACAUUUUAUUAGGUGCACACAAUGGUCACACUUGGGACAGGUGGUGUUCUCUGCGGGCUCCACUGCAUAGUCUCUCUUGCAUGUCUGCUGUGUACCCGGGCCCACUGGACACAUCUGCUUUGCACAUUUGCUGCCUCUUACUCCAGUGUCGGUGAGGGUCCCAACAGGGACAGCCAAUGACUGAUUCAAGUCCUUCUCCAGUGACUGAUUUAGCUUCACCAUCACUCUCAAAAGCAUAGAGGCAAUCCCGUGGGCUUUGCACAGUCUGCUUCUGAUAACCCAGAGCUUGCAGCAAGGGAGGGGGGAAUCAUUUUUGGAAGAACUAAAUCCCUGCCCUCCAUCAGCUGCUACCCAUUUCUAGAGCCCAGAGCCCAGCACUUGAGGCCUGCAGAACCUUAUAAUCUGACAUGAGUUUAAGCAUCUUUUUCUUUUUUUAAAUGCCAAGGAGUAGAUGUUUUGCUGACUUUUAUGGAAACGUGAAACUUGAGAGGGGUCAAAAUUGCCGGAAAGGGAGGAAAGAACAUUUCCACAAAAGACUUGCCCCCGGUGCUGCACCGUUGUGCUCCUGGCCGGUCCAAAUUGGGCCAGCCAGACAACGCGGUAAGCAAAUGGUGUCAUCCCCUUCCCGAGUCCACAACAACCGGCUCGCCGUGUAGGCGGCAGCUGCUGAUCCACAUGGAACAACCACGUCACACGCUGACAUGAAAUACGACACAGGCUGCUUGAUUCCUCCUGAUUGCAUUUCAGUGCACAAUUGUACCGCUUCUGCCGAAGUCCAGCAAUUUGGGUUGCUGGCUUCCUCCCUAAGCUGACCUACAAAUACCAGUUUUCAGGGGGAGAUUUAUGACCAAGCACAAAAUUACCGUCUUGUAAAAGCACAGAUCAGAGCUAUAAAUAGGGAUCUAGGAUAGGCAUGCAGAAACCCCCCCCCAGGGUAUAGUGACUCUUGCUUGGUCUGCACAAAAUAAAAUGGUGACCCACAUUCAGGCACUCAGGUAGUGCAUCCAUUGACAUUGCACCGGUUGAGGAGUUGGCCCCCAAUCCAAAUCUGCACCCUGAUGGAAAAACCAGGUGGUGAGAACGGCAGCAGCCAGACUCCACUGCAAUCGUGGGGCUGAAAACUGCAUCCUCUCUCAUCUUCUGUCCAUUUAUCUUGCUGCCCAGGAUGUUAAUAAGGUGCGGUUUAUGCUUUCGAUGAGUUAUUUAGCAGAGAAAGGUAUUCGCUCUCGGGAUAGUGUUGAUUAACCUCUGCAUGCUGAGUUACUUAGUAGGCUGAUGGAUUAAUCAUGUUUCCUAAUAAUCCUUGUCAGAUUUAAGCUUUUUGUUUCCCCUCUAUCUUCUUUUUUUUUAAAAGACAUGGAUGCAAACGUCGUCUUUUCAAGGGAGUGCAGAGAGAGAGAAGUAUAAUGUGCUGGUCGGAGUACGGGCCUACCAUGGAUCUGGGGAACCCAUGUUGCUCCAAGCCUGACGUUGUCUAUUAGACCCUUGUGUUUCUGAACAGUAAUGCUCAGGACCUCAACUUGCCAUUCAUAAAAAGCACUUGGCACUAUACAACGGUGAGGGUGUUAGUCAAUGAUACCCUUCUCUACCCAGGUAAUCAUCACCCCAAUGUUAACUCUACAGCCAUCAUUACUUCCCCAUGUGCAGAAGCUGACUCUGGUUGCUAGGACAAGCUGAAGUCUCUCUCUUAGCUGUCCCAUUAAGAGAAUAAUAGAGUCACUUUUAUGACUUUUCCUUUCAAAAUGACUUGAAGGUGCCAGAAAUGAACAAUUAAAUCAGCAAUGUUAUUCAUAAGCAGCAGCUAAGUACUUGGCACUGAUAUUCUGCUUUUUCUUUGGAUGCAGUCCUUGACAUGAAAUGGCACUCUGCCAGGGAAGUACUUUGCAUUGUUGAUCUUGAAAAUACAACAUGUGGCCAAACCACUUUGGGCUUAUGAAGAAAGGUGUUUGGGGAAUGUAAGAAAACAUUUAUAUAUCAACCAGGAGGCUUUCAGGGGGUGCUUCCAUGGCCAGGUGUCUCUGAUCGGAUGCUAGCUGGAUAGCAAACAGGAUUUGGAAACAGAGGGCUGCAAACAUCCAUUUAAACAGGACAUGCUAGGCCAAAGGGAGUCUCACAUAUUGUCAAUAUUUGCUAGUAAGCUGCCUGAGAAAGUCCAUGGAGACAGGGGAGGCUUUCUUCUCUCCAGAAAAUAUGCACGAGUUCAGCUGUUGUUACAGGAACAUGGAAGCACUAUAAGGUGUUGCCUGUUUCCUGGCGAAAACCAGAUUUUUGCAUAGUUUCAACCCAAAAUUGUAAAGUGCUUGAAAUGUGGCCAGGCACCCUGAAAUGUCCGUGCCUCUCGGUAAAUCUCUGGGCCCUUCCUUCUGUUUCCAGCUCGCUGUGAAAUCGGAAAUCAAGCGUGCUGGAAUUUGCAUAACGUUUCGGUUUGUCGUUCGCGUGUCCUAAUCCGCAGACCUGUUUCAUGUCCUGAAGUUUUGCUGGAUGUUAAGGAAAGGCAAGGAAGGGUGUGCGCUGCUCUACAGGGCAUGUUUAUCAUUGCUUAGCUGCUUAAUGGAAACCACUAAGCUGUAAGGAAUCACAAAAUGCUCAUCACACUAGAAUAUACAGAAAGGACAGGGGUAGCCUGUCCUAAUAAGCAAGGAGGCAUAUGCUUUGAAAAAUGUGGGGGGAAACUGUCACAAAAUAAUGCAGAGGGUGUGGGUUUGGGACAUCUGAUGACUAUUUUGGUGUCUGCUACCUAGGUCCAAAGAGCUGACUCUUGCAUCCUGAAGCUCUAGCGGGGAGGACUCAGAGGACUAAAUCAAUGACUUUAAAUAGCUCCAUUGGUCUUACUAAACCAUACAGGGGUUAAGAAAAGGCCUUUGAAAUGUUGCAUCCUUCCAGUGUGGUCACAGCAACCCUUUGGUGUGUGGCAGAAUAGAAACCAGACUUGGUGCAUAGACAGAAAGGAGAUGUCCUUUCAGAGGAGACACUCCCGAAGAUCAGCGGAUAGAGAGAGGCAGGGUCUGCAGAGAAAAGAUGGCAACCCGGUCCCCAGACCAGCACGGAUAACAAGGCCAAGUUGGACCUACCAAAGCCCAGAGGGAAAUGCUCCAGACUGGUGAUACUGGGACGGGUGUACAGAUGUACGUCCUGUUGUCAUUUGAACGCUUUUUAUUCUCAGAAGUGCAUUCCAGCGGUAGGUAACUACUGUCUUGCUUUGAAGAAACCUGGCGUUACAGCCUUUGCUUGCUGCUCGCAACCCCUGAAGCCGGGGCUGGAUGCAGCUGAACAUGUUGGGGAAACAUGGCUGGUAAGCGGGGUUGCUUUAGCUUGGACACCCAGUCUAAAAUCAGGGUGGGAUUUCUCCCCGAGACAAAUUAAUUCAGGUGUUGGAGGGGAAGCCCCCGGGAGGGAGGAGGGGUCCAAGCUACAGUGAACAGAAGCAGUAGGAUGCAUGCUAUAGGGUUACAUGCUAUAUUGCUGCCUUCUUCAAGAGCUUCCCAAACUAAAUAUAGCCUAGUCCUGGAAAAUUCAUCAGCAUGUAGGUGUGUAUCAUGGUGGGAGGAGGAGGGGAAGGAGGCAAUGAAAAGCUGCUGAGGGUGGUUUUGUGGAAAUACUGGAGAGACAGAAGCACAAAUUAGUCAUGGUAGAGACCACUGAGUCGUUGGAUCUAAUUUUUUGAGUGAUUCAUCCACAAGAAACCACCGCGUUGCCUGACGUCUUGCAAUUCGUUCUUUAUUUAGAAAGCAGCUCAGCUUUACCAUGAAUAUGUGGAUUUUGGUCCCAAUGGCUUUUUGAUAGCUAGGUGCCUGCGCCAUCCUUGUAUUAUCAUCAUUUCGAAAACCACGAAGUUCAAAGAAAAAGAAGAAGCAGCAAAAUUAUGGGGUUUCUCAUUCCUCAAGAUCUGGGUGGAAUGAAGCUAUAAUCUUGCAACAUCAAAGGGGAAUCUAUAGUAUGUGCCAUUUUCAAUGCCGAUAUUUGUGUAGCGAAGGUUUAGGAAGGGGAAGGCGGAGUGACUCUACAGCUCUGACUGCAAUGUGGUUAAUUGUGGACUGGACUGGAGUGAAAGCGGGGGAAUCGGAGGUGACGGGAAAAAUCGGUGGGCCUGAAAGGCUCGGAAAUCUAGGAGAGCAAGACUAUGGUUUCCAGAAGAGCUGAGGUCCGCUAAUUUAACUUCUCAUUUAGAGGCACGUAGCAGCAUGCAAAAAGCCAAUCGUUGCUGAGAAAACCAUGCAUUCAGGCUCCAACAGACGGGUUGUCGGGUGAACUUGUGACACUAGAAACAUGCAAAAAAAAAGUACUUGCACAGAAGGGUAAGACUUACAUUUCAUCUGCUGGUUUGGCUUUUGCUCAGCCAGAUGGAUCUCUGGGGGAAAUCACAGGAGCCUUUCUUGUGGAUAUGCGUAAGGAAACAAUCAGAGAAGUGCCAAAAUCCCGAUGAAAACUUUCCCACCAGAGAUGCACCCAAAAAGUUCAGACCCAGAGCUAAAUGCUGGGGCUUGGGCCCAUCUCUAAACUUCAUAGACAUGAUGAUGAUGGACACCAUGCAACAAAGAAACUCGGCUGUUGCUUUGAUAACAACAAUCUCUAUUGAAUGCAAGUUUAGUCUAACUAUAGGCUGAAGAAGGAUCUUUCUGAGCUAACUCCGGCAAGGACCACAACCCCCUGAGCAAAUUCAUGGUUUUCUGCACUGCUUAUCUGACCCCUCAAACUCCCAAGUCCCAAUCUGGUGCUGUGACCACCAUCCUUAUGGCCUCCGAGGAUUGUAUUAGACAAGCUAAAUCCCUGGCAAGCUGCGACAUCAGGGAACAUGCGUUUGUGCAGCACCCAGAAAACACAUGGUGAAAUCCCGGCAGAUCUCUCAGGCUGCAAAAUAUCAUGGCACCAGUCCUGGAGGGAAGCAUCAAAUGAAAAUGUUACAGAGGUGAACUGGAUUCAGAUGUCCCACAAGGUCACUUCUGUUCAAACCAUACCCCCCUUGCACUUCUGUCCACCAGCACCCUCGUGGCAUGCAGUAGGCUUGAAGUCAUUAGCAUUUGGGACUCGGCUAAAGGGAAGGCAAUAACACUGGAAAAAGAGAGGAGUGGAAAAUCUGCUCACUUUAUUAAACUAUUUCCUGUGAAAACAAUUCUCUUUGAUGAUUAGGAGAAAAACAAACUCCGCCUUAUUAUUUAUAGGCCACGGUGAUUUGUUUCUUCCCAACGGGGUAUGUCCUAGUGUCAUCGGCUGGCAGGGACCAGGCUUAUUUCUUACUCCGUGCAGCGGAAAUCUGGAAAAAGGGGCGCAUCUGAGGCCCCAGCCGCUUGUGGCAAUGUAAUCAUGUUAUAAAAAAUUGGACUGUGAAGUGAAAACAAGCAGCUGACCAGAGCGAGGAUGUAUUAUUUUAUUUAUGCAUCUGUAACUGUCUUUCUGGAAGAUGAGCUGUAAUCCUUCAGCAUGGUCGUGUAUUUUCCAUGUUCUGGACUGCUCAGACAAAGCAUAUUUUGGUGUGCCGCCCGCUGAUUGAAUCAGGCUGAAUUCCCGGUAUAAGUUAAAUCGCUCGGUGCCAUAUGAGGUGUUUUUAGUGCAACGUGAUCGGGUUCCCCUUGUGUCAUCAGAAAUACAUACUGUGCAGCAAAUAGAGAUAGACCUAGAUUCAGAGCCAUGACUGAACAACUUUGUCUGGAGGUUUUACCCCUCUUCUUCCACUUUUAAUUCCUUUAAUUAGCAUUCCUGUAGUGCCUAAGAGCUCCAGGCAGCAUACACCAGGACCUCACCUGCUUGGUGCUAUACAAACACCGCACAACAUGACCACCCGUGCCCCCACAGUGCUAUUUUUCUUGUCUAGAUUUGAUUGCGGAGGUGAAAUGUUCCUGCAAAUGAAGUGUGAACUACUAUCAAGACAGAAUGGCAAAGUUUUGCACCCGGGAUAAGUGCAUGCUCAGGACUGAUUCUGCGUUGGCCUUUAUCUGGGGCCGUCUUACAGAUGUGCAGAGCACCUACUACAUUUGGGAUAAGUAGAUCAUCUUCUCCCUGAUUCAUGCUGAGUUGCAUCUUACUCCAAGAAUGGGUCACUUGAUAUCAGUCGAGUUCACGUAGGAAGAUCUGGUCUAAUAAUAAUAACCAUACAUCUUCCUGGUCUGAAUGUUGUAGCUUGUUCAGAAAAGUGGAAGCAAUAGACAGUCUAUCAUUAAUAAGAGGAAGGAGGAAUAAAGAGAAGUAAACUCCCAUGACAUGGAUUUUGAUUCCUUCCCCAGGUUCCAGGCUACGUUGCAGACUGUGCCAAGUCAGUUUGGUUCGCUCCUACUUCUUUUCCUGUCUUCAUCUCCUAUUUGCAAUACCUUCUUGGAAGCUGGAACGUCAGCAGCUCUCCAAGAUAGCUUUGUCCUUUGACAUUUGGCAGAGGAGGGUUUUUUCCAUCAUGUGCAAUGGAAGCGGAGCGAGCGGUUUGUUUUGAACAGCCACCUUGAUUUCAGCAGAGCCGGCUGCCAGGCCGAUCUCUAUCUAUCUUCGUGCAUCUUGGUGGAUGUGGGACUCGCACAGCUGUGAAGAUGCCGUGCGUGGAGGCUGCCCAGCUGCGAAACAUGCUGGAUUUUGCAAGUCCUGCAAAAAAAGAGAGAACUAUGCUUUCAUUGUCCGGUCCUAGAGAAGUGAUUUUGUGGAGGGAGGCCCUCUUCAUUGCUCCCCUGCUUGUUUUCCCUUAUGUAAAAUGAGGUUUAUCCCUGCUUUGGUGGGAAAGAGAUUUUGAUGUUUAAUUAAUUGUUCAUAAGAGGCUUUGAAUACAGGCAAUUAUGGCAGUGAAUUUUCUUUCUAGUUGGGAACUUCCAGAGCUCUUGCUAAUGAGAUUAGAACAUAAAUUUGGAGCCUAAAUUACUUGUUGCUUUUUCCCUUCUUAUUUCGAGAGCGCCUGUUUUCUAGGGAGUUGGUUUGUGGCAUCUGGCAAGUAACCGUUACGGUAGGCAAGCUCUGGUUCUGAUCUCAUCACCCAUUUUAGUCCAUUGAUGCCCAUGGAGUUAAGUCUGAUUUACACCGAUGCAACAAGGGAGAGAGUCAAGCCCGCAGUUUGUGCAUGUGAAAAAAAAGAAAAAGAAAAUCCUGCCUUAAUUUCACACAGAAAUGGAGGCAAAGCUAAGCAUGGAAAACUGCCCGACACAAUUAGGGAAGGUUUUUUUUCCAUCAGCAUAAUACUGUUUUGAAUCUGGGCCCCAGUUAGAUGGCAAUGCUUGCCGCUGUGAUCUAUGAUUUUCUGUUUCUUGCCUUGCUUUGUGAUUCACUAUCGCUCAGCUUUCCUUCAGGUACUUUUACUAUAUAGUGCCUAGACAAGAAAUCAGAACUAGCAGAAUUGCAAAUCAAGGUUUCUGUGGAUUUGCUGAAUUAACGUAUGCACGCACGCCCUCUCUCAACCAUCAGAUUUUGUGCAUUCAAAAGGACACUAGGAGAAACCUAAAAAAUUGUGCCUGACAAAUUCACUGUGGGUUUGGUGUGUUUUUCAUCUCUUUGCAGCUUUUGCUCAUCCUGGGGGGCAAUGUGCAUAUGAACGAGAGACACUUUCUCGUCCCAUAGUGAAGUGGGUGGUGAGAUGUGAGUGCAAGAUUGUGUUUCCUAUAGAGAUUAUUGCAAAGUUGUGUCUCUCAUUUGCUGACCACAUCACAUGAACUGAACUGCUAUCCCAGCUGGUACUCGUUGCCAGCCUUGUUUGGGGGCUGAGGGCUGAAUGGGGCUAUAGACACGAGUCUAGGGAGGUGGUUUUUCUAGGGCUGGGUUGAGGCAUGCCACCAGCUUUCCUAUACGGUGCCUCUUCUAUGAGCAGAUGGUUUCCGUUUCCAGGGCUUUUAAUCCAAGGGCCUUUCAGCAGCACUAAAUUCACAUGCUUUCUGCCCCCCCCCCCCACCUCAUCCUUAAACUCAUAUGGCUGAAUUCAUGACAGCUAUAGUUUCCAUGCCAAUCAGGUGUGAGAUCAUAAUUCAGCAUUAUGGCUUCACUCCUGGACAAUGCAUAAGCAAGAGUUUGGACAAGGAUGCAGAUGAUCUGUUCAGGUGCUAAUAAUGACAGAAAACAGAAGGCAUAAUAUUGCAGAGGAAAGGGAAAAGGCUGCAUAGACAGUUCAGAGCAAUAAUCUCCAUCACAAAUCGCCUCUCUGUGAAUCAUCCCUGAACAGAGGUAAUAUUCCUUAUUAUUCACCCAACAGCUCAGAUGCUCGAUUCUCAGAUUAUGCGUUGCUGUCAUAUGAUGUGAGUGGAUUGCCUGCCGUCCCCCAGAUACCUUGCUUAGCGCUGGUGCUGAUCUGUGCCUGAGCAUGAAAAACUCCUCCAACUCAAAAAGCAACAGGCUUUCUGGGCUGACCUUUUUUGCUGCAUGUGUGUGUUCACUACAUUGCACUACCUGAUUGAGAUCGUCAAACAUCUCGGCCACUUAUUUUCUGGAUUUUUAAAAAAAUGCCCGCUGCUAAAGAAUGAAUAAAGAAAGUGAUCCGUGAAAAUGUCUUGCAAAUCAAAUGUAUUUGGUGAUGGCAGGUGGGGUGGGGAGGGCUAAAUAUUUGACCCUCUGUAACCAGCAUAGUCUUUUAUGAUUUUAAUUAUUCCAUUUGGGUCUCAGGCCAGAUUCUGGGCUGAUACGAGUGAACAGAGGCGUGUUCGCUCCAGCGGCAUCGGGCCAAUUUUCACCUGCUGAACGUCUGGCCCAUUCUGUUUUAAAGCUCGGCUCUUUAAAACUGGCACAUUAACUCUGGAAUUUUCCAGUUUGCUAUUAAAGCUUAAUUUUUUUUUUUUAUCUCCCUACUGCUGUUUAGGAGAAAGAAACAAGUCUGUGCAGGAAUCUAAAUCACCUGGAAAAUGGCUGGGCUGGUAACUGGAGCUCGUGCUGAAUUUUUCAGGGCCGGAUUCUCAGCAGCGUAUAUGGGAGAAGCUGCUUGGAUUUCAGUGAGGAUGAGCUGAUUUACCCCACUCCUGAGCUAUUAUCUCUCAGGUUCCUAUUUGAACAGCGAAGCAGGUUGGCAUGCAGGAUCGGUGUCGCUCGCUCUAUUGUGCUGGCCUAGCCUAAUUUUCUUCCAUUCGCCCUGCAACGGGCUGUGCAGCGCGCUCCAGAAAACGUCUCUCUGCCUUCCCCUUGCUGGCGUGCUGUUGCAACUGCCCAGUUUCAAUGCCCCGGUGAAGGGGGCUAUUAAAGCGUUAAUGGGAUUUUCAUUUGCAGCUGGAGCAAAACAGAAUGAGGUCUCGUUUUCAAACAAUGAGCUGUUUGUAUAAUAUGCAAUGCCAGCCACAUCUGGGACAAGCAGACUAAUGAGAUUCUGGCAUUCAAGACAUGGAGGGGCCCAAGUCAGACAACACCUGUAGCUCUGUACAAAUCAACAGUGGUUUGCAGGGCUUGUGGGGGGUCUCUAGAAAAACAGCUACUAGGCAUGGUUUCUGCCAUGGAUUUGGACAUUGCUUGGUUUAAGUAUUAUGGUGCAAUGGGAAGAAGAGUCUGGCAAGGCUUUAUGAUAAUGACUGUCACUGAACCUGCCACUUGCCCUAGUUAUAUAGCACUAUAUUGCUAUUAGGACAUUUCCUUUCCCUAUUACUAUGUGAUAGCAGAGAGAGAGCCUCCCCUCCUCAAAGCAAUGCUGUGAAAUGGCUAUUGUUCCCUACACCAGAUGCAGCUGCAAGGGGAAACAAAAAUCCUGCCUGUCCAUCAUAUCUUUGGGACGUUUCAGAAGCGAAGGUGCACUAUCAAGGCAAGACAACAUUGCUAGGCGCUGCACGCUGAACACUUUGCGAACCACAAGGAUUUUACAGGGAAGUGUAGGCAAUGCCUAUCUCGAACUAUACCGCUUCAGGCUCCUCUUUCAUUUGUCUAGCCAGCCUUUACUCAGCUGCUUACUCAUGAAAGACAUAUAAUUUAAGGGGCUUUCAUCUGGAUGAUUUCGGAGGGAGUGUCACUGGUAUCGGAUCCAACUUUCACCUGGCACCAUGCAGCUCCUGUGCCAAGGCAGAUCUUGUUCCUCUGGGUUAAUGACUGAAAAGAGUUCACCUAAGCUGUUCUCCUAUCCCUUCACUUAAAGCAGGGGCUGCUUUGUCCCCAAUAUCUUUUUACAUGUUUGUCAGCAACUCCAGUCUCCCAAGGGGAAAGGGUGGCUAAAAGACGGGUGAAGCCUCUCCUAGCAGCUCAAGGCAGACUCGCCAGGUUGAUUUCCCAGCCUGAUGCUUCCCAUUGCACAUGCCUGAGCCUUCCCUGUAAACCCGCAGGUCUUGCAGCACCAUGUGAACUCAUGGUACCAGCACACAGGGCCUGCCUCUCUUCAGGUCUGCCUGUGAGAUAUUCACAGUGCUCCUUUAGUCUCUUGGCAGUAUGCUUGCCUGCACUGGCAUGGCUCUUCUUAAUCACCGCUCCCCAUUCCCUACUGGCAUGGCUCUUCUUAACCAUUGCCCCCCAUUCCCUAGAAGUGUCCUAUGGGAAAGACGAUGCAGAUGGAUUAUUAAUGCUGACUUUUGUUUGGUGGGGAAUGAUACCCUAGUGAGCUGUCCUCCAUGCACAGUCAAGUCAAGUCAGUCCCGAGGCCGCUGCAACCGUUUGGGGCAUGUUAGAUGCUGUGCAUCAUUGAUGACUCUUUGGGCAAAGUGACCUGGUGGUGCCCAUCUCCUCUCCAGGUACCCCUAUGUAUAGCCUGACUCAAAUGAUUCCCUACAGGGAGGUGGGGAGUAGGGUGGCAUUUGUCUGUAUGGGCCUAGGCAUUUUGCAAGGGAUAAAGUGCACGAAUCAGAAAUAGGACGCAGGACCGGAGGGGGCUGGACUCAAUGAUCUCACGAGAUCCCUUCCAGCCCCUAACGUCUAUGAAUCGCAGUCAAGUGUGCAACCCCCAAACUAUCCCAUUAUCAACACAAUAGUCAUGGGCUUGACUGCCAUCAUCGUGACCGUAGGUAGCAGGACGCUGCAAAGUGCUGCUUGUUGACUUCCCAGAGAAGGCCUUAGUAAUCCUUAGGUGGAUGAACAGGAUUUGAGUCCAGUUCGACUGCAGAUGAUGAAAACCCCAAGUUUCCUCAGCAACAAUGACCCAUGACAGCUGAGAAACCUAGAAGGAUACAGGAGGAGGGGAGAUCAUCAAGGAGAAGAGUUAAGUAAGAUCUCCAAAUGGACGAGCCUCAGGCUACCGGCCCUUGAAGAAAUCCAGGGAAUUUGGGCUAUAGGUUGCAAUGGUGCCAGGGAUUUUUUAUACCCAUGGUGCCUAGUCCAGCAGGGAAACCCAGCAGCAGUAAGAGCAGCACAACCCUGGAUUACCCUGGAUGCAGCCCCGAAGGGCAUAUCAGUUUUCAGGCAUUUAGCAGUUUUUCCAAGUUUUCUCUCAGUGAUUUGCCAAAGAAGUUUCUGCCACAUUGAAUCUGGUGAUUAAAGGUCUCAGUGCUCAUGCAUUUGGCUGGCAAGAUGAGUCCCCCUAUUUCAUUUCCCUUUUUUACCUCCUCUCACACUCCUUUUUAACCCCUGGCAAAACUCUAUCCUUGUAUAGGUGGGCAUACUUGUAUGAAUACAUCCACACAUAUCCCUCCUACGCGUGUUGGCAGGGAUGGCUAUCCGCGUAUGGCUAUACUGGUGCAGGCAAUUAUUUCCACUGGAGGUCCACUUAAUGAGUUUUGUGUUUGCAUGCAUGGAUAAAGCCGCUAUACCCAUGCAUUGCCUCCUUUUAGCUUGCAUUAGGGCAUUGCAACCAUACUUUUCUAUGGUUCUGGGAUUUGCAAUCCUACUUUUUUUCCUGAUUUCUAGGGUGAUAUUUGCCUUUUGACCCCAGAACCCCUCUUACCCCCCCCAAAAUGGUCCAAUGGAUAAGCAAAGCAUGGAGAAAGGAAAAAACCAGCAGGCAAACAGAGCUCUAGGGAUGAAAACAAAUGACAGCCAGGCUGGC